GGAAUAUUGGUCAAUGGUCGGAAGACUGAACCAGCCAAGUAGCGUGCAGGAUGACGGCCCUAUGGGUUGUAAACUGCUUUUAUGCGGGGAUAAAGUUCACUACGUGUAGUGUUUUGCAGGUACCGCAUGAAUAAGGACCGGCUAAUUCCGUGCCAGCAGCCGCGGUAAUACGGAAGGUCCGGGCGUUAUCCGGAUUUAUUGGGUUUAAAGGGAGCGCAGGCUGAUGAUUAAGCGUGACGUGAAAUGUAGCCGCUCAACGGCUGAACUGCGUCGCGAACUGGUUAUCUUGAGUGAGUUCGAUGUUGGCGGAAUUCGUGGUGUAGCGGUGAAAUGCUUAGAUAUCACGAAGAACUCCGAUUGCGAAGGCAGCCAACAAGGCCUUUACUGACGCUAAAGCUCGAAGGUGCGGGUAUCGAACA
rnacentral:rRNA from 1 species